UGAUUACAAAGCCCAGUCGAAUUGUAAUCAGGACCCAACGUUUCGACACUCCAGUCUAGUGUCUUCAUCAGGGGUGAUCUGAAACUGCGAUCGUGGCUUCUUAAAUACCCAAGGGAUGACGUCACCUGCCAGGAAGAUGCAUAUAUUCUUCUGGCAAAUAGGCGCCGUCAUCCCUAUUCAAAGCAUGAUGACUCAUAUUUAUAUGCCACGCUUCUAGGCAAAGUCUUUGACCGU